CACGCACCCAUCCACAUUGGGGCCACCACAUCCUGCUUGCCGGACCCCGCCACACGGGUGCCAGAUAU
rnacentral:snoRNA from 1 species